UACGAAGGGGGCUAGCGUUGCUCGGAAUCACUGGGCGUAAAGCGCACGUAGGCGGACUCUUAAGUCGGUGGUGAAAUCCUGGAGCUCAACUCCAGAACUGCCUUCGAUACUGGGAGUCUCGAGUCCGGGAGAGGUGAGUGGAACUGCGAGUGUAGAGGUGAAAUUCGUAGAUAUUCGCAAGAACACCAGUGGCGAAGGCGGCUCACUGGCCCGAUAUUGACGCUGAGGAGCGAAAGCGUGGGGAGCGAACAGG
rnacentral:rRNA from 1 species